rfam:Streptomyces bungoensis strain DSM 41781 genomic scaffold PRJNA299233_s046, whole genome shotgun sequence.
CUUCAACGAGCCCAGCCACAAUGGCCGUUCCGGAUCACGGCCCUGGCCGUAGGUGGCGAGCAGCGCCUGCGCCUC